rnacentral:rRNA from 1 species
CCUACGGGUGGCAGCAGUGAGGAAUAUUAGUCAAUGGACGCAAGUCUGAACCAGCCAUGCCGCGUGCAGGAAGACGGCUCUAUGAGUUGUAAACUUCUUUUGUACGAGGGUAAACGCAGAUACGCGUAUCUGUCUGAAAGUAUCUUACGAAUAAGGAUCGGCUAACUCCGUGCCAGCAGCCGCGGUAAUACGGAGGAUUCAAGCGUUAUCCGGAUUUAUUGGGUUUAAAGGGUGCGUAGGCGGUCGGAUAAGUUAGAUGUGAAAUCCCGAGGCUCAACUUCGGAAUUGCAUUUGAUACUGGUAGGCUAGAGAGUAGUUGCGGUAGGCGGAAUGUAUGGUGUAGCGGUGAAAUGCUUAGAGAUCAUAAAGAACACCGAUUGCGAAGGCAGCUUACUAAGCUACCUCUGACGUUGAGGCACGAAAGCGUGGGGAGCAAACAGGAUUAGAUACCCGAGUAGUC